GCCAGUCUGAGGCUGGCUCCCUCUCUACACCUGGGGCUAACGUCUGCCAGGGAAUCAGGAGCAGCACUUUGAUCAACGCUCACACACCACCACACUGGUGAUCUGCUGAUAAAGGUUCAACUGCAGUCUGACUUGUUCUGAGGACACACAGAGAAACAGCAUCUAACCUGGUGGAGGAGGUGACAGGACUGGAGGUGGAGAUCAGGAGGGCUUCUUCAGAGUCACGUCAUUUCCUCCCUCCAGAGAGAGAAGCACAGCUCAGUCAUGUUUCUGGUCAGUUGCUGAGAUGUGUUCAGCUCUGACAUCCUCAUCCAUGAUCUCUCUUGUCAUCCCAGUCUCUGUGUUGCUACUGGGGGCUGCAGGUCUCUCUGAGGGGAGUGAUGUCACCCAGACCCCCAGCAUCCUCUGGUCAAUCAAGGGGCAGCCUGCUGACAUGGACUGCAGUCACACCAUGGGUGCUUCAUACUACCAGAUGUACUGGUACAGACAGUUACCAGGACAGGGGAUGAAGCUGGUUGUGUUCAGUGUGCCCAGCAGUAAUCCUGACUAUGGAGAUGUCAGUGAGCACAAAUUCUCAAUCACCAGGACAGGAGCAGAGAGGGGAUCUUUGACAGUGAAGAACUCUUUACCAGAAGACAACGGCAUGUACUUCUGUGCUGUGAGUGAACACAGUGAUACAGAUAUCAUGUGCAGCUGCACAAAAACCCCAACUUCUCCUGAAAGGUCCUGA